rnacentral:misc_RNA from 1 species
AACUUUCGACAAUGGAUCUCUUGGUUCUGGCAUCGAUGAAGAACGCAGCGAAAUGCGAAAAGUAGUGUGAAUUGCAGACUUUAGUGAAUCAUCGAAUCUUUGAACGCACAUUGCGCCCCUUGGCAUUCCAUUGGGCAUGCCUGUUCGAGCGUCAUUUCCACUCUCAAGCAAUGCUUGGUGUUGGGUGUUUGUUUGUGCUUAUUGCAUGAACUCGCCUUAAAAGUAUUGGCAGCAGCUUACCAGCCUCCCGCGCAGCACAAUGCGCUCUAUGGGGUUUGGCAGGCCAGCGUCCACAAGAUAUUUCUAGGUUGACCUCGAAUCAGGUAGGGAUACCCGCUGAACUUAAGCAUAUCAAUAAGCGGAGGCU